rnacentral:piRNA from 1 species
UGAUAAAACACCAUGGUUAAAGGAAUG